UGUGCUACUCUAGAAGUCCCUUUUUCCAUUACUAGUUACAACAUUAAUUCAGCACUUCAGAUAAGCUGCUUGCAUGAACCCGACAUCAGUGUGAAAUCAUCAAGCAAGAAAUGGAAUCUUGUGCAUCGUGCAAUGAUUAUGCACAUAGUAUCUAGCUUUUCUAAUAGAUGCAGAUAGUUUAUUUUUCUUAAAUGAUCAAAAUCGCACAACUUAAAACAUGGUAGAAAGGCACCUCAUUAGAAUUCCAUUUAAAAACUAAAAUAAUGUAAGAUAUGGCUGUGCCUGCUUUCAGAAAAAACUAUAGUGACCCUUUAAUCGGAGUGCCAGUGUCUCAAGCACCUUGUAGAAGUAGUCGCAACACUGCAUUUCCCACAGCUCGAGCAUAAAAUGAUUGCACUCUGAUUUCUGCCUCCCAAUGGAGAAGAUUAUUCAUCCUGAAAUUGAAUGCCUUUGCCCUGCACCAAUUAAUAAGAGCAAUUUGCAUUGGUAAUUUGAAAGGCACGCUAGCUCAACUGACAGAUUCUAUUAUGGCUAGAGGUAUCAGUGAAGUAUCAGACACAACUGAGAUACUGACUUCGUAAUAAGCUGUGUUGGCUGCCAAAUGGAAGAAUGCUCCCCUAUCCCUUGUGACAGCGCUGGUGUUUGUGUAACGAUAUGGUAAACUGGUUCAAGGAGCUGAUAUAGCUGAAGACUAACUGUUGUCCUCCCUCAAGUAAUGGGUUUCCUGCUGAUCAUGUCAGUGAUUGCGUUAACCAUGUUCAGUGUUCGUGGAGGGGAGGAGUAAAGCAGCAGAGGGAGACUGCGGCAACUUGGAUUUCUUCCAUUUGCUAUUGAAAGCAGCAGCUCCUCUGUUCACUGUUCUCUGGAUUUAUACAUAUGGAAAUGAUCAAAUUGCUUCAAUUUCUGAAUAUGGCUAAAGUACAAAAAGGAUGACUGCGUGAGCACCUGUGAAUUGCUGUCUGCCAGGGAAGGGAUGAAACACCUUGCACACGACAGCUGGCUCAGACAUUUUCACUCAAAAGCUUUAUAAAGUGGAAAACAGGAAAGAGGAAGACAGAAGGCUAAGCAUGAACUAACUUGCUUAAUGAGGUGGUCUACCAGCAAGUUUGUGUUAAGUGAACUGAAAGACCUGUACCCCUUGGCAGCAGCCACUCCACAGCAUGGAUCCUUCUUGUUUAUUUUAAAACCCAACUAAUUAAAAGUAAUAACUCAUUU